UCGUUGGUGAUGAUGCUUUCCCUUUGGC
rnacentral:sRNA from 1 species